AUGAAUGUCCUCGAUUGGAACUGCCGGGUGGUGGGAAACCGCGGGACAGUCCGGGAGGUGUUGGCCCUCGUCAAAGCCAAUGACCCCAAGCUAGUCUUCUUAAGCAAGACUAGACAAGAUGUGGUUAGAGUGGAACUCAAGUAGAGGUUAGGUUUAAUAGGAUUUCAUGGUGUUAGUAGUAAUGGUAAAAGUGGAUGUUUGGCUCUUUUCUGGGAUGAGUCAUUGUCCGUGACAGUACUUGAUGCAUGCCGUCGUUAUAUUGAUGUUCGUAUUGAGGAUGUUGGACGAGGAACCUCAUGGAGAGGGACUUUUGUCUAUGGGUUGAGAAUAGGCAAGUCAUGUGGGAUCAUCUAG
rnacentral:rRNA from 1 species